ACUCCUACGGGAGGCAGCAGUGGGGAAUAUUGCACAAUGGGCGCAAGCCUGAUGCAGCAACGCCGUGUGAGUGAAGAAGGUUUUCGGAUCGUAAAACUCUGUCCUAAGGGAAGAAAAAUGACGGUACCUUAGGAGGAACGCCCCGGCUAACUACGUGCCAGCAGCCGCGGUAAUACGGUAGGGGGCAAGCGUUAUCCGGAAUCACUGGGCGUAAAGGGUGCGUAGGCGGCUUAGCAAGCCAGGGGUGAAAGGCAUUGGCUCAACCAAUGUAAGCCUUUGGAACUGUUAAGCUUGAGUGCAGGAGAGGUAAGUGGAAUUCCUAGUGUAGAGGUGAAAUUCGUAGAUAUUAGGAGGAACACCAGUGGCGAAGGCGACUUACUGGACUGUAACUGACGCUGAUGCACGAAAGCGUGGGUAGCGAACAGGAUUAGAUACCCUGGUAGGUCAGUC
rnacentral:rRNA from 1 species